UAAUUUCAGUUCCUUUCCUUUUCUGGUAGAGAUGAAGGAGAUGCGUUUCAUCCGUGGACCCAAAACUCUGAUGCCAGUCACAGACUCAGGAAGACAUUCUUCCCUUGGUGUUUAAUCACGCGGGGACGCCUGCCUGAUUACUCACCCACGUUUCAGAGGUGUCUGACCACAUGGGGAUGCCUGCCUUGGUCCUUCAACCUUAGCAGCAAGUACCACUUUUCUGGGGGUGUGUGGGACCCCAUGGAAAAUCAGACUGUUCAACUCACCUGGCAGCCACUGACAGAGCCCCUGGAAAUCUGGCCCAAGACUCUCUAACUGACUCCUUCCCAGAUCUUCUCAGUUUAGAGUCUGAAGACUGACACUGCCCGAUCACCUUGGAAGCCCCCUAAACCAUCUUGGAUGCUGAGCUUCGGGUAACUCUCACAGUGGUGGAUUUCUGCAUCCUCUCAGUCAUGAUGAUAAAGGAUUUACUACCUCAGUCAUGUCACCACUCUUGAAUAUCAUUCCCAUGGCAUGGUGCAGUAGGAACUGGUUGACUUUUAAAACUAAGUUAUAAUAAUCUUAAAGCGAUUGGAAAUUGAGAAGAAUGUAAUGGAAAAUAUAUUUAUAUGGCUUGGUUAGCCAAAAUUCCCUCAUAAAGCACCAACCUGCAGGAUCCCUUAGCAAUUUACUGAAGAUGAAAAAUAAGCAGAACAACUUUUUAUAGGUCUGUAGUCACUAGAGAUUAAUUACAAACACUAGGUGUAUUUUAACCUAAUUCUUGGUUCCUGAAAAGCACUGCAGAUGACAGCAACAAAAGAUAAUACCUGCUUUUACCACGGGGGAAAAAAAUGGAUAACUGCGAGAGGUGAUGGAUAUGUUAAUUUGUUCCACAAUAGUAACCAUGUUAACUAAAUACAUGUAUCUGAUAACAUCAUGUUGUAGAUCUUAAAAUACACACAAUAAAAUUUAUUUUUAAGUUAAUCAGAUUCCCACCUUAUUUCUUCUUAAAUAUCCUUGGUGGGAAAAAAAUGAGAUGGUAAACAAAUUGUUGAGCAAUUCCUAAACAUUCCUCAUUAAUUAUAUAUCUAGUGGAGGGGUUCAUUUUGUUUUGAAAUUAGUAUUGCAUUGAAGUAGUGUUUUUAGAUAUUCUCAUAAUACAGUUUACCUCACCCAUAGGCCUGUCUGGUGUGAUUUAUAAGAGACCAAGAAAACUUCAGCCUAAAAACACUUCCCAUGCUGAUGCCUGAAGUUGCUGAGUUAGGAAUUGAUUUAUCUUGCUUCAUUUAGUUCAUUGCCCAUUCUCAACUCGUUUUAUUUUAAAAUCAAAAUGUGUUUUCAAACAUGAUCCACUUAACUGACAGCCUGAAUUCAAUCCGUGUAGGUUACUAAGUAAUAUUUUAAAUCCUUUUUCAUUCCUUUUACCUCAAAGUAACGGACCUGAGGAGAUGACAGCCCAUGAGCUAACCAUCCCCUGAUUAUUACAUGAUUGCAUGUAAUGACACUUUAGGAAAGGAGUGGCCCUGAAAGUCUUUUAAGGACAAUUUUCUUAGAGUUUACAAAGUGGGAAUAUUCCAUGAAAGCCUUUAUUUGCUCUGUGUUUAUUUAUCUUAUAUAUCUACCUAUUACUAUUCUUAGGAUGAAU
rnacentral:lncRNA from 1 species